UACGAAGGGGGCUAGCGUUGUUCGGAAUUACUGGGCGUAAAGCGCACGUAGGCGGAUAUUUAAGUCAGGCGUGAAAGUCCUGGGCUCAACCUGGGAACUGCGCUUGAUACGGCAGAGCUAGAGGAUGGAAGAGGCUCGCGGAAUUCCCAGUGUAGAGGUGAAAUUCGUAGAUAUUGGGAAGAACACCGGUGGCGAAGGCGGCGAGCUGGUCCAUUACUGACGCUGAGGCGCGACAGCGUGGGGAGCAAACAGG
rnacentral:rRNA from 1 species